UAUGGGAGCAAAAGAGGAUGUGGUGAGCCUGGGGUGUGGCAGCUCAUUGAUAUGGCUGGGUCAGAGGUCUGUUAAGGGGCGAGGUGGAAGAUGAGUCUGGAGAGGUCAGCAAGGCCAGAUCCUGAAGGAAGGGCCUUAGACCUAUACUAAGGAAUAGUGAGAUCAUAGUAUGUUAAGAGGGGAAGGGACCUCUGAGAUCCCUUGGCCCCAGUUUUGGUGCAGAUAAGAAAACUGAGGCCCAGAUUGCUUAAUGAUUUCACCAAGGUCACUUAGCUCCAAGAAACAUAACCUUCAGUCUUUAAUAUAUUGGCUAAAACUUGUUGGCUCUCUCCUAAUGCUGAUCCCUAUUAGCAUCUGUAUACUUUUUGUUCUGAACAUUGUUGUAAAAAGACUUCUAGGUUAGCUAGGUAUGGCAUGUUGCCAUGCAUGGAAAUGCCUAAGUGGGCAGACACUGGGCCGUGCCCCCACACCAACGGGGAAGAAAGUGAGAUUUCUAACUCUAUUUUGUUUGGGUUCUCUUCCAUUGGCUUUUCAGCACAUAAGGAGACCACAGAACACCAGUCAGUGGUGAUGACAGACCCCGUGUUGGACUCACAGCCAACCAGCAACACUGGGGAGAUGGAUGGACUGUGCCCUGAGCUAUUGCUGAUCCCCCCAUCUCUCUCUAACCGUGGAAUCCUGGAGCCCGUCCAGAGCGCCUGUCCUGCUGAGAACCCCACACCUUUGCCUGCUGACCCAGGCUGUCUACUGGUAGAGGCCACAGCAACUGAAGAGGACACAGGGAACAUGGAGAUCAUUGUGGAAGCAGUAACUGGAAACCUGUCCCCAGGUGCUCCUGGAGAGACCCCAGGUACCAACCCAGUCGCUAGCAGGCCCCUGGGACAAUCAGCCCUGAGGUUUUCUCUGUGCUAUUUUUGACCCUUUUGUAUAAAUAAUGAUGAGAACACAAGGUAGCAUCUUAUUUUUAUUCUUAGAGAUGUUGUCAU